rnacentral:lncRNA from 1 species
GUGUUUUUUUUUUUUCUAAAAGAAAACUGAAAGGAUGUCAUUAAUAAAAUAAACAAUUACAUGACUACAUGUAAAACACGUGUAGCCUAACAGCUGCCCCCAAACCGUCCCCCUAAAAUAACCUAAAAGCAGGAUUUAACUUUCUAGAUUCCUAAAAAACUGAACAGACGCAUUAAAAACAACAGUAGCCUUCAAGAAACCUUAGAAAGACUACCAGAAAAACAAAGAAACAAACCAAACAAAUCAGAAAAAAUUGCAGCCUAAACUGAUUGGCAUUCCUCUCCGUCUGUUCUAUUACCAUCGUCUAUCUCCAAAAAAACAUUAUUGUUAACGUCCAACGAUGGAUCCUUAAAGAACCUGAAACCGUCGGAGUCCGCAAAAAUCCCCUUCCUACGACCCAUUUCAUCCUCAAAACAGAGCCCUUCUAUCUUCUUCGGCCACCGCUUCAACUCUUGAAGGUGCCUCCUUAACCCAAAUCAUCGCCGAUGGCCAUUGAUUUCCUUCCUUCGCAAUCGUAUGCGCCGCUCGGUUCACCGCUCUGCCCACAAAAUGACGAGUAAAACUCUCAUAUCCUUGGGCCCUCUUUUUUAUUUCUUUGAUAAUCAUAGAAAUGCUUGAUCUGUCAUUCUCUGAUGAACGGAUUUUCUUAAUAACUAUCAAGGAAUCCCCUUCCACCACUAGUCGUCGGAAUCCCAACUCUUCGGCCACCGUCACCGCUUGUAAACAAGUCUUCGCCUCAACCGUGGUGGCAUCGGCCACAAAACUAUUUGGGUAAGCACAAGUCGCCAAAAUGUGCCCCUCACUAUCUCUAAAGAUUAUCCUAAAUACCGAACUAAACAUGCACUUGUUGAAAGUCGCAUCAAAAUUGCAUUUAACUUCAUUAAUUCCUGGUGGCGUCCAUAUACUAUUCAUCUGGUUCAUAGGUGUUGAAAUCACGGAUUCUGUAAAUGUGCUAUCUGAAUAAUAUGCUUUAAUAAACGUAACCAGACCCACUAUGUUCCGUUUUUCACCCUGAUGAUAUACCUUAUUUCUGUGGUACCAGACUGCCCAUAACACAAUAGUUAGCCAUUUGCAUUUCUCCUCUCCUGUACAAGAAAAUAUAUUUGCUGACCGCAAUUUCCAACUUUGUCCUUGAAUGCUGGGCGAGACAUUUACCCCAACCCUUGCAGAACACUUUCAAUAAACAUGCAAUCCCGGAAUAUAUGGCUCACCGAUUCCUCUAUUGUACGACAGAGAGGACAAAUGUUCACCACCUGCAGAUUCCUCACUUGUAAAUUGUCAAACAUGGGGAUAUAGUUAUUAUCAAUUUUCCAUGUUUAAUUUUUAUUUUGCUUGCAACUUGUAACUUCCAUAAUUUGUUGUAGAAGUUCUGUAAUAGCGUAGCUUGUUGUAACAUUUCCCCCCUGCGCUGCUGUCACUUCUUCACUAAGCAGCCAUUUAUAGCCACUUUUUGCCGAGAACACACCUAUACUGUCUCCCCUCCACACUCUUUCAUCAUCAAGAUCAACUUCAGCAGCUGGGAUUGUCAAAAUUUUGUUUACCUGCUCCUCGACAAAAAGCUUCCUUAGGACCUCCAACUUCUAG